UAUUUAUAAUUUUCUGUCACUGCUUCUAGAACAAACCUGGCUUUAAUAUACUGCAAGGUUUGUUCUAGCAGCAGUGACAGAAAAUUAUAAAUAAAUUAUUU
rnacentral:miRNA from 1 species